CUACUGUUGAAGAGUCCCAAACUAGGACGAAACAGCUGUCCAGUAC
rnacentral:hammerhead_ribozyme from 1 species